rnacentral:rRNA from 1 species
CUACGUAGGGGGCGAGCGUUAUCCGGAUUUAUUGGGUUUAAAGGGUGCGCAGGCGGGAGAUUAAGUCGGCGGUGAAAUUUUGCAGCUCAACUGUAAAAAUGCCAUCGGUACUGGUUUUCUUGGGUGGGGAGUAAGUAGGCGGAAUUUGUGGGGGUGCGGUGAAAUGCAUAGAUAUCACGAGGAACUCCGAUUGCGCAGGCAGCUUACUAGGCCAUAACUGACGCUCAGGCACGAAGGCGUGGGGAUCAAACAGGAUUAGAUACCCUGGUAGUCCACGCCGUAAACGAUGGGCGCUCGUCGUCGGCGGCAGACAGUCGGCGGCCAAGCGAAAGCGAUAAGCGCCCCACCUGGGGAGUACGGUCGCAAGGCUGAAACUUAAAGGAAUUGACGGGG